AUCCUGUCCCAGUGCCCGGAUGUAAUGCCAGCGCGCAGGCGCACCGGAGAGGGAAAUCGCCGUCGUCUGCCCAAAAACUAAGGAAGGGAAGCCCAUGAAACGUUUACGCCGUAAAGUGGGAGGAGCCCAGGCCUUUCCCUGUUUAUCGCGACGCGGCGCAAGCGUCAGCCCUGCCUAAUACGAUGGCGGUCCCAUCGAUGGCGGGGGCGUGGCCAGGACUCAGGUGGAAAGUGGGAGGAGUCCUCUGGGUGCGGGGAGAAUGAGUGAAGACAAGAGGCGGUGAGGAAAAGCGAGGAGCAUGCGCAGAAGGCGGGAAGGCUUCCCUAUUAGGUACAAAGGUCUGCAGUGGUUUUCCUAAUGUACUGCAAGUAACGUCGAGGGUGUGUGCAUGAUCAUUGGAACCCACGCAAAUCUCUUCAGCCCAGGUUGCUCAAAACAAGAAACCAGAGAGCUGUGGCUACAGGGAUUACAAUCCAUGGACAUGACACUCUUCAAGGCACAUUCUAUUAUCCUACAGCUGGAGCAGCUUCAGAAAGACUGGGUCCACCUCCUGCUCCUUCAUGGCCAGAGGGCAGCCACUGAUGUCAUUAAGCUUUUCCAUUCUGCUGGCGUCACAAAGCAUGCUGGGAAUGUUGAAGAUGGAGUUCCAAUGCAGCGACCUUUUGCACCAACUAUCCUAAUGACCACUAGGGGCACUGGGAGUAGAGGUAAUUAGUGAGGGUCUCCUUACCUGUUCCUGCUUGCCUCUACUCUAUGACCCCUGCCUUGACUCCUCAAGUACUUCCUGUAGUGAGUCAGUCCUCUUCUUUUCCUCUUAGAGAGUAGAUGGAAACAUAUCACUCUCCCUACCUAUUCAUUAUGUAGCUGAUAGAUAGGACUAGGUCUUUCCUAUCUCAAAAGCUCUUUCCUAUAUCAUGUCUGCAUGACGUGAUCGUUUCCUAUCACAUCAUGCAGGCGUGCCAUAGGCAUGCUGGGUACUUCCGGUCAACCACCCUGAGCCAUUUUUGGAAGGGCA